rnacentral:rRNA from 1 species
GAUGAACGCUAGCGAUAGGCUUAACACAUGCAAGUCGAGGGGCAGCACAAGGUAGCUUGCUAUCUGGGUGGCGACCGGCGCACGGGUGCGUAACGCGUAUGCAACUUGCCCUAUACAGGAGGAUAACCCGUCGAAAGACGGACUAAUACUGCGUAUGCUCACAACUUGGCAUCAAGUGGUGAGGAAAGAAAUUCGGUAUAGGAUAGGCAUGCGUCCCAUCAGCUUGUUGGUGAGGUAACGGCUCACCAAGGCAACGAUGGGUAGGGGAACUGAGAGGUUUAUCCCCCACACUGGUACUGAGACACGGACCAGACUCCUACGGGAGGCAGCAGUGAGGAAUAUUGGUCAAUGGGCGCGAGCCUGAACCAGCCAAGUCGCGUGAAGGAUGACUGUCUUAUGGAUUGUAAACUUCUUUUAUACGGGAAUAACAAGAGUCACGUGUGACUCCCUGCAUGUACCGUAUGAAUAAGCAUCGGCUAACUCCGUG